GAAAUGCGAUACGUAAUGUGAAUUGCAAAUUCAGUGACUCAUCGAGUCUUUGAACGCACAUUGCGCCCCCUGGUAUUCCGGGGGGCAUGCCUGUCCGAGCGUCAUUUCUGCCCUCAAGCACGGCUUGUGUGUUGGGCCCCGUCCUCCGAUCCCGGGGGACGGGCCCGAAAGGCAGCGGCGGCACCGCGUCCGGUCCUCGAGCGUAUGGGGCUUUGUCACCCGCUCUGUAGGCCCGGCCGGCGCUUGCCGAUCAACCCAAAUUUUUAUCCAGGUUGACCUCGGAUCAGGUAGGGAUACCCGCUGAACUUAAGC
rnacentral:misc_RNA from 1 species